CUAGAUACGCUCAGUCGUCGCUAGCUUCGAUCAACAGACAGACGCCUUGAUCGCGCAUCAAUGGAUUUGUAUCACAUGAAAAUGUCCGGACCGUGCCAAGCGGUCCGACUUGUGGCCAAAGCGCUGAAUCUACAUCUGAAUCUGAUAAACGUCGAUCUGGGCAAGGAGGAGCAGCUAAAGCCGGAGUUUAUCAAGAUCAAUCCGCAGCAUGUAAUCCCAACCCUGGUGGACGACGGCUUCAUCCUGUGGGAGUCUCGGGCUAUUCUGGCCUACUUAUGCGAAAAAUACGCCAAGGAAGACUCCCUCUACCCGCGGCAUCCCCAAAAACGAGCCGUCAUCAACCAGCGACUGUACUUCGACAUGGGAACCCUGUACCAGCGAUUCGCUCUCCACUACUACCCGCAGGUUCUCGAAGGGAAACCAGCUCCCGAAGGUACCUUCAAGCAGUUCGAGGAUGCGCUCCAAUUCCUGGAAACCUUUCUCGCCCAGUCCAAAUACCUCGCCGGAGAUUCACUCACGAUUGCCGAUAUAUCUCUACUGGCGACGAUCACGACCUUUAAGGUCGCCGCCGGACUCGAUCUGUCCCGGUACGGCAAUAUCGAGCGUUGGUACGGACUCGUGUCCGCCAGUGUGGCCGGCCACGACGAAAUCUGCGUGCAGGGUUCCAAGCAGUUCGCGCCGUUCUUUAUCAAUGCGAAGCAGUAGGCGUGGGAAUGUAAAGAGUGCUGACGUCAUAAGUUAAGCAAGGCAGUUUGAUUUGUUUGUGAGAAUCAUGAUAAGUUUUGGACAGAUUUGUUGAAUCGCUGCAUUCAGAACAUCGCAGAAAUCACGUCAUCAUAUUUGCCUUCUCAUGACUUGCAAAAAACAUCACACCAGAACAACCUGCGCUCAUGAAGAGUC